rnacentral:rRNA from 1 species
AAAACUCAAUAAUUUGACGGUUAUUAUUAUCAUAAAGGAGCUUGUAAUUUAAUCGAUACUACACGAACUAUUUUACUUAUAUUAAUUUUGUAUACCUCCGUACUAAUCUUAUACAAAAUUGUAUUAAUUAUUAAAAUAAUUUAAGUUUAUAUUUCAGGUCAAGGUGCAGUAUAUAUAAGAUAUUAUGCGCUUUAAUAACUAAUUAAUUAGAUGAAUUUAAUUUGAAACAGUUAAAUUAAGUGAAUUUAUAAGUAAAAAUAAAUAAAAUAUUUUUUUGAAAGUAAAAUAAUUAUGUACACAU